GAUCACUACCAAACUUAAAAUCAGAUCCAACAAUAAUUCUUUUAGGCUGAAUUAGUUUAAUGUAAUUAUCAAUGAACUCUUGAGCUGAUAAAUUAUUAUUUAACAGAUCAUAAACUAGUAGUUGUUCAAGGCCACUUAAAGCUGAUAAUUGUUCAAUUUCAUCAACUUUAGGAUAUAGCAACCUUUGCUUUUUGGGAAUAUGGUCAAAAGUUAAAAGAUUAAAUCGAUCUGAUUGUUUAAAUAAUUUAGCAUGUCCUUUAUGGAUCCCAUCAAAAAAGCCAAUGACUAAAUCAACACCUUUGUUGACUUCUUUGAUUGUCUUACUUGUUAAAUUGAUAAUCGAUAACAUCUUUUAAACUAUAUUGACCAGAUCUUGUUCUUACCAAGUCUACCAUCAUGGCUGUGGUGUUAAAUUGGGUGGCUAGAUCAACCACGAAAGAACGAACAUAAAAACCUUUUUUAACAUCUAAUAAGAUCUCAGCAUAAUCAUCGUAAUAUGAAAUUAACUUAGCCUUAUAUAUGGUUGUGGGUCGCUUCUCUAGUUCGAAAUCUACUGCUUUUCUCGCUAACUGAUAAGCCCUAACACCAUUAACCUUAAGCGCUGAAAACUUUGGGGGAAGUUGAU
rnacentral:antisense_RNA from 1 species